rnacentral:tRNA from 1 species
GGCCCUAUCGUCUAACGGUUAGGACACCGGCUUUUCAAGCCGUCAAUCCGGGUUCGAUUCCCGGUAGGGUCA